rnacentral:rRNA from 1 species
CCUACGGGUGGCAGCAGUGAGGAAUAUUGGUCAAUGGGCGCGAGCCUGAACCAGCCAAGUAGCGUGAAGGAUUACUGCCCUACGGGUUGUAAACUUCUUUUAUAAAGGAAUAAAGUGAGGCACGUGUGCCUUUUUGUAUGUACUUUAUGAAUAAGGAUCGGCCAACUCCGUGCCAGCAGCCGCGGUAAUACGGAGGAUUCGAGCGUUAUCCGGAUUUAUUGGGUUUAAAGGGAGCGUAGAUGGGUUGUUAAGUCAGUUGUGCAAGUUUGCGGCUCAAACGUAAAAUUGCAAUUGAUACUGGCAGCCUUGAGUACAGGUGAGGUAGGCGGAAUUCGUGGUGUAGCGGUGAAAUGCUUAGAUAUCACGCAGAACUCCGAUUGCGAAGGCAGCAUACUAAACUGCCACUGACAUUGAUGCUCGAAAGUGUGGGUAUCAAACAGGAUUAGAUACCCCGGUAGUC